UCGUCCCACCGGUAAAGGUUGAAUCUCAGAAGAUUUACGUUCUGCGUGGAUCCUCAUGGAUUGACAGUGUGGAUGGACUCGUGAAUCAUAAAGCACGGGUCACAAGCAGAAUGGGAAACACCGCAGACUCAGCUUCUGAAAACCUGGGAUUCCGAUGCGCUAAAAGCCUGGCUCCAUCUAACCAUAAACAAAAAGGAAAGAAUAAAAUUGAACUCUGAAAGGUGUAAUUUUAAAGCAAUUGGUGAAAUGCCAGCGGGCCAAUUUUGGGUGUCACACAGAUUGAAAUUGAACAUGUAUCUCAAGUAUCUCUUUCAAGUAUCUCCUUCAAGUAUCUCCUUCAUAUUUAAUAAAUAAGUAUAUCUUUCUUUCA